rnacentral:rRNA from 1 species
UACGUAGGGGGCAAGCGUUUGUCCGGAUUUACUGGGCGUAAAGCGCGCGUAGGCGGGAGGUGAAGUCCGGUGGGAAAGCCCACGGCUCAACCGUGGAAGAACGCUGGAAACUCACCUUCUUGAGGGCGGCAGAGGGAAGUGGAAUUGCUGGUGUAGCGGUGAAAUGCGUAGAUAUCAGCAGGAACACCCGUGGCGAAGGCGGCUUCCUGGGGCCGCCCCCUGACGCUGAGGCGC